rnacentral:ncRNA from 2 species
GGUCAUGAGCGCCAGCGUCAAGCCCCGGCUUGCUGGCCGGCAACCCUCCAACCGCGGUGGGGUGCCCCGGGUGAUGACCAGGUUGAGUAGCCGCCACCGGCUACGCGGCAAGCGCGGGUC